UUUUUUUUUUUGGUUCCUUGCUAGUACUAGAUUUCAGCCAUGCCGCCCUCUCCUAGAUUCUCUAUCCGCCAUGGCCGUUGGCCAGCGGCAAGCGGACCCACCAUACAAGCAGGGCAGGGCGGGCCGCCGUGGAACCACCCCUGCUCUGGCCUGUACUGCCGCCGUCGGAGGUGAUGCGCCGCGCCGUCCCUCCGACACCGUCGCGGCCCGCAGCGAGCAGGGCGAGGCGCGCGGCUCAGCGUGAGGAGGGCGCGGACGUCGGCCCCGGUGGCAGUCGGUCAGUCAGCAAUCGGGUCUCGGCAGACAAGACAUCAUAGGCCACGCCGCAAUGCUGUCGCCGGCCGUGCGUACGAGUUUCUUCCUGCUCUGCCUCCACUUGCUUGGAGCUUAAUUUUAGCCCGGCGUCGGUGUUUGCCGCUCUUUGCACCGCCGGGCGCAUGCCCAUGAGCUGUUUGAUGCUUUGCAUCAACGAGUUCGAGCAGGCCUAGGGGCAGGGGCUUUUUCCUUGUGCCAGUCGCGCUGCAGUAAAUGUUGCCUUCUCUUGGAGCUGGCUGGAGUAACAUGAUCUUGGUGGUUGUGUUUUUGGCCUAAUGGUGUUUCCUUCUGAUUUGUAAGCAGGUGUGCAUGGUAUGGCCAGUUCAAUCAGUGCACGCACCAGCGCACGGCAUACUCUGUCGGUUUCUCCAUUAUCUUCAGUUCGAUCAGCACAGACUUCACAGUUAGCGAUAAGAGCUGCAAACCCACUCUUCCCUUGUGCCAAACUCUCUCAAGCUCGUGCCGUGGUGGCAGCACCAAUGAAGGUCUCCAAGCACCCUUCCUCUUCUUGUUUAGCCAACCGCCAGCCUUCAAAAGGUUAGUGGUAUUUACUCAGAAUUCCUCUAAUUAGUUAAGUGACGUGCGUCUCCCAAGAAGCAUCUAGGUUAGCUUAUGUGAUGAUUUUCCUGCUUAUGCCCAGAGGUUCUUGAGACAUGGCGCAGUGCCGAUGCGGUGUGCUUCGAUGUGGAUAGCACUGUAUGCUUGGAUGAGGGUAUUGAUGAGCUUGCUGAUUUCUGUGGGGCUGGGCAGGCAGUAGCUGAGUGGACGACAAAGUAAAUGUCACAUUUUCCAUAGUAUGUUAGUGCUUAGCAUAUACUACCUCCGAUCAUAAUAAUUUUCGCAGUUUUCAGUCAUAUACUACCCCAGUUCAAAACUGCGACGCUUAUUUUGGAUUGGACGGAGUAAUAUCUUUGGAAGAACUAAUCUUGGUCUAAUGUUCUCAGGGCAAUGACAGGGACCGUUCCAUUUGAAGAGGCUCUUGCUGCCCGGAUUUCGUUAAUCAAGCCAUCUCUGUCCCAAGUUCAGGACUGUUUGGAGAAGAGGCCACCCAGGUAACCUUAUCCAAGUCCCAACUUCAAGUUGAUUCAAGAAGUUAAUCACUAUUUAGCUGCCGUAUUUGCUUCUUAGAUGGAUCUUUUGAGAUUCCACAGCUUUGUUAGUCUUAAUUUGGAAUGAUAAGAUAUGUGCCACUGAACAUAACAGAACGAUCUUAGGAAUUCCUAGCUGAUUUCACUCGGCUUCUCUUUGUACGGCAAUAUGAAAAAUAUUAGCUAGACCUAUAUGCAAAAUUGGUCUGGUACCACGAGAAAAACAACAUUUCAGGAUAAUAAGUCUAAGUUCUUUUUAAUACCACUAAAUGAGAUACAAAAUACUACUCCCUCUGUCCCAUAAUAUAAGAGUGUUUUUGACACUACACUAGUGUCAAAAACGCUACACUAGUGUCAACAACGCUCUUAUAUUACGGGGCGGAGGGAGUACCUGCUUAUACCACUUGAGUCUCCACCGUUAGGCCGUUGCGUGCCCUGCAACCACAACAUAACCCUUCCGACUUAUUCGCUGUGUGUCUUAAUAAGAGAUUUCCUAAUAUCUCUGACUACAGAAUAAUGCUACUAAUAUGGUAUUCGUUAGUCAUUUAUUCAGCACUAAAACAGAUGUAAUUUUCAUGUUAUGUACACACAUUGUUCAUUUUCUUGGUUCAUCCACAUGUUUAUCAAAAGCAAUAUGUUUGUAUCUGCAGGAUUUCUCCUGGAAUCGCUGAUUUGAUUAAAACGUUAAUAGCUAAUAAUACUGAAGUGUUCCUUGUGUCAGGAGGUUUCAGACAAAUGAUUGAGGUAUAUCUUCACUAAUUGGCUGCACUAUUGGUACUUUUGGAAUAUCAGAACAUGGUCAAAUUUGCCUGUCCUUAAAAAAUCUUCAAACUUUGAUAAUUGUUAUAUUUGGAUGUCACACCAAGCUUUACUUUUAACAUAUCUAUAGUUUGAAUACAGACAUUAAUGCUAAAAUUCCCAUCUAUAUUAUUUGUUGGAACAUUAAACAAGGAUAUGUUUCUUCUCCCGAUCUAAAAACUAUAAUUCCUUUUUUCUUCUCUUGAGAAAAUUGUAAAUAUAGUUUUGCAACUGAAUUUUCACAUGCAUGUGUAAAGCAGCCCUUAGUUUUCUAUUUGUCUUGCUUCCAGCCUGUGGCAUUUGAGCUUGGCAUUCCUACUGAAAACAUCAUAGCGAACAGACUGCUAUUUGGUACAUCCGGAGAGUAUGCUGGAUUUGAUACCACAGAACCCACUUCUCGAAGUGGGGGUAAAGCAGUAGCAGUGCAACAAAUAAGACAGGUUUAGUGUAACUGUAACUUCCGAUGUUGCAUUUAUGUUCUUAAUUUCUAGCCCCAUAAGUGACCUUGUUCCAUGUGUUCAGGAUCGUGGUUACAAGACGCUGGUUAUGAUUGGAGAUGGUGCAACUGAUCUUGAGGUACAUCUCUGGAUAAUUCCUUUGAAAAUAAAUAUGUUUCUUUUUGUAAACAGCAUGUAUUGACACGAUUCAUUUAUCUGAUGGGGGAAAGAUGUGGAAUUGGCCAGUUGAUGUAGCUUGAUUUGUUUAUUUGCAACUCCUUUCUCGCUGUUUGUGUUUUUCAUCUCACAUCAGGUUGCUGCAUGUUGUUCUCUUCUUUAUGUGACUAGAGAUGUAAAUAACAAGAUAGUGAAUUUCUUCAAUAAAAUGAGGUGGCAAGAAGGGUUAUAAGUGCAGACUGCACUAGUCCAUCUUUUUACAGAUCCUAAAUCUUGUGAGACAAUGACAUCACUUACUACUACCACCGUCUCAAAAUGUAAGACGUUUAGCCUACAGAAACAUCUUAUAUUUUGAGACGGAGGUAGUACUUAGGAGUAGGGGGUGCGGGGGAUAAAACUGCUGUGACUUCCUAACGACAUGUUAAAUGUUGAUACAUGGCAUUUAAUUCUCGUCAAAGGCCAACAUAUGAUAUUUUUAUGAAUGAUGUGUACGCAGCUAUUUAACCGAUUCUUAGUGUUAUUAAUUUUUAUUGCGUUGAAGGAGCUAUCUCUAUGAGGAAUGGACAAAAAUAUGUGCAGCUUAAUUUAUAUACAUGUGUCCUUGCAGGCUUGGCAACCUGGUGGAGCAGACUUGUUCAUCUGUUACGCCGGUGUCCAGAUGAGAGAAGCAGUUGCAGCCAAAGCUGACUGGACCGUCUUUGAAUUUCAAGAGCUAAUUUCUGAAUUGCCGCAGUUAAAUACCUCACAGUGAUUCUGAAUCUUACGGUGUUCACACCGUGAAAGAUCGUAUGUUCUCAAGCUUGCAUUUAGCUGCAUUACUUUAUUUCCUCAUUUCCAUCAUUCCUUUGAUGAGAUGGUGCUUGAGUUGGAGCUCAAAUUUAAUGGUUUCAUUUCUGAAACCUGGUAGUUAUGUAUUCUUUUUUCUUUGCGGGGUUGGUGGUUAUGUAUCUGAUACGGAAACCUGAUGGUUAUGUAUCAAUAUUGAAAUUUUAUGGUUAUGUAUUUGAUAUUGGAAUUAUUUAAACCUGGUUGAUGUACCUAUAGCACCAUCGACAACUUGGAUUAUAAUUUAUACACUCAGUAACAUGUGUGCUAGUCAAAACCAAACAUCAAUAGUAACUCAAAAUGGGCUUCAAAUGGGAGAAGGCAACGAAAAAAUAGUGUUAAAACAUCCACUGUGUACAAUAGGUAUGCAUGUCAUCAGCAAUGUUCAAGGCCCAAGUGAGACGGGCCACCCCACCUUCAUCCCCCGUGUGCCUCCCUUUCUCCGAUUCACCUGUGACUUGCACAACACCGGCACAACGCCCCUCUCUAAUUAUCCAUCCCCUGCACUAGGUGAAACGGCGCCCUAGUGCUGGUCAGUUCAACACAACCUCUCCGCUUCCUACAUUGAUGUUGGCAUUGUUGUACUUGGACUACCUCCCAAUGAUUAGUAUCGAUGUCGUUGCUAUCCACCAUGCUCCCCCUUGAAGUGCCUACCCUUUGCAACCGAUAUGGCCAUAGGAGAUGGUAUAAUUUAAAUUCAAAUGAAGUUUUCAAUGGUAGUAUAAUUUAAAUCCGUAUUCAAAUGAAGUUUUCAAUGGUAUGAUUUUUCAGUAAAUUAAUUUAUGUGUUAUUGGUCUAAUUUAUGGUCAAAUUUAAAUCUCAAAAAGCGUGUGUGCACUACAUUAUGGAAUGGAGGUAGUAUAUUUUAUCCAAAUAAAAAAUUGACUACUUUUUUCAUGUACGUUAUACAUUUUUGUAUAUAUUAGGAACAUUUUUUAUACAUGUUUAAUAUAUUUUUAAAAUACAUGGCUCACUUUUUUCCAAUAUUAUUUUAAUGACAAGUACAUUUUAUUUGGAAACACGUGAAGUUUGUUUUUGUUGCAAACAUUUUUAAUGCUAUCAGCAUUAUUAUUUUUAACACUGUACAAACAUAUAUUUCAGAAAUUAAGUAUUUUUUUGUGAAAUAUAUGCAUUUCAGAUUAUUUUUUGAAUAGAUAAAAGCAAAACUGGGUGGAGAAAUGAAGAAACCUGUUGCUAGGCCGGCCCACUAGGGGUUGCCAAGCGGGGUAUAGCCGCGCGCUAUGUUUGACGCCUUGAGCGCGAAACAGGAUUUCCCUUCUUGCCUGGCGCGCUGGUCGUGCCCACCACGGACGUGACAGUCAAGUCUUUAUAACUACUCCCUCCGUUCCUAAAUAUUUGUCUUUCUAAACAUUUCAAAUGACUACUACAUACGAAUGUAUGUAGACAUAUUUUAAAGUGUAGAUUCACUCAUUUUACUCCGUAUGUAGUCACUUAUUGAAAUGACUAGAAAGACAAGUAUUUAGAAACGGAGGGAGUAGUUAUUAGGCGAAACAAUUUCCACGAAACUACCCAAAAUCGAGUGGGCGGUAGGCCACCAAUAGCAAAGCAAAAUGGCUUAAAAUCUCUCUUCACUUUCACCGGCGGAAUCCCCAACGUCCAAACCGAACCCGUCCAAACGAUCGAGAGCGUGCGUUCGGUACUGCACAACCACAUCUGCAUGGAGACUUGCGCUGCUGGUUAAUAAGUUAACCUUUCCGUCGUGUUUGGAGUGGGAGGUCAACACUCACGCUACGGCGACUGUCCGGCCAAUACGCACGCCGGGCGUGGACGUGCCGGGUACACCCUACACCCUACAUAAAAUACUGGAAUUCACUCCUCCUUCUUCUUCCCAUUUUGCUCCGGCCCUGCUUUUGUGUCAGAGCACAAAGCAACAACUGCUAUGACAUCCAGCGAGUCGUGAGGAAAUAAGAAAGACGGACCUGCGCAGUCCAGCGAUCCAUCCAUAGUUCGGUACGCCAUCGAGCUCGAGGCUCAUUUCUGCACACCCAUUUCUUUGGACUGCUGAGCACACACGAGCGAAUCAUCCACAGUUAACUACUGAAAAACGCAUCGCCGCCACGCAAGCAAGCGCCUAUUCUGCAGUGCUUGACCCAUCCACCCAUCUUGUCCUGCUCGGCGGUGACACGUUUAGUCAUUGUGAAUGCCGCUAGAUGCUACUAGCUGCCGCCAGAGCCUGGCGUGACAUGCCGUACGUCGCUAGUGGCAGUGGUUGGGCCCUUCUUCCUAACAGGAGUCGGUUACAGCGCUUGGAAGCUCGAGAUCCCAAUAUUUGUCUUUGCAAAACCAUUUCCUUUUCUUUUGAUAAAUGAUGCUUUUAUCCAUUUCUAAUGUGGCAUCAAGUGAAUACAAAGCGUAAUAUGACAAUCGGUCUCUACAUAGCUAGAAUGCACGCCAUUAAAACAGAGUCUGACAAAGUAAAAGGAGUGGCACAGUGACAACAACAAAAUCAUAUGAAACCGAAACUAUGCACAUGUCGAAGGAGGGUGUGACCCAAGCGAAGAUUAUGUUGUCACCCUUGUUGGGUAAAAAUAUGUCUGAUCACUCACUCCAACCGCAUACACGCAAUCAGGAACAACGACUUGUACUCCGCUCGGUGUAGCAUAGACCGCAUAUGAAGCCAAUGCGUACAACGGCAGAUUAUCUACAUGAAGAAGAGAUUUUACCAUUAAAAACAAGAGUUUCAUGAAAAGAUUAAACGUAUUAUUUCUAAAUAGGCAAAUCGGCCAUAGCAAGGCGGACGCUUCCACCUUUAUUAGCAAAACAUUCCUUGGAAGUGUAAACUCAUGCUAAAAAAACAGAAAAGAUUGCACCAUUUCCAGACACUCGUGUAUUUGGCCUUGACCUCGUAAGACUAACAGUGAGAAACCACGACAAUAUUAGUAGCAAAUGUUGUAUCCAGCUGUAGCCAGUCAAACUUAGCAAGAUUUUUGGAGGUGUACGCUAUCAUCAGUCCUAGAUAGUACUUGCUAAUCAUGCUAUUUCAGCCUUCCUCCGUGUAUCUUUCUACUAGCGAUCUUAAGCAUGCGCGCAUAUUCGGUCGGUGCACGCCAGCCCGCGAUGGAUAGGAAGGAAGGAAGGAAAUCGUCCGUUUCUCAGCCCGGGCCAUGCCAUGCUCGGCUGCUACACAUACGUCGCCAACACUGUCCAAGAUCGCUCUACGGCGCCUUGAGUGCUAAUCACUCAAAGCAACGCCACAAAUGCAACCCCACCGUGCUUGAUUGCUUGCUACUAAGAUCCAAGCGGGCGACAGAGACAACUUGGCCGAAACGAACAGACCAAGAAAGAUAGCCCUGAUCCGCGACGGCGAUGACCCUAAAAAGGGACGGGUAAAGGUUUCUUCGCGGAGAAAUAAUUAGCCUUUUAUCGAUCGGUAUGACGUCUCGUCCCGAUUUAUAAGAGGCCAAAGCAACAGAUCGCCUACGGUUAGCUACCAAUUGAGAAUAUAUGUAGCCGCUGCACGCUUUUGGCUUCUUUGUUCUGGAGCUAACCACCGUUGUUUGACUCUGCGGUUUCCGGUGCGGAUUAGGACGCUUCCGCCCCCUGGUAGUUGAUGAAAACUACGUGUUACUGGAAAUCUUAUUGCAACAAAAGUACUGGUAUGUCAAGACGCUUUUUUGCGGGUCAUGUCAUGUCAAGAUUGACGGGGCUAAAAGGUUGAUCGGUUAACAAAAUGAAGUCUUCACGCUCACAUCCUACCAUACGCGCACUUUUGAAAGACUGAAUCAGCGGGUCUUGAGACUGAUGAAGUCGUCGCAAGCACCAUCUAGUCGACGGGCAUGCCAUACUAUUGCACAAACACAUGUGCCUUUCCGGUGCUAUUUUUUUCUUCUUUUUUUCGCACCGGAAAGGCUGAAAUAAAUUCAAAAGAUAUGCAAACACAUGUGCCUAGUCUAGGUCCUAAAUCUAAAUAGGCUGCUUUCACCAUAAGGAAUCUAAUCAUCUAAGUUACCUUCAUACUCUCGUGCGGGUUACUACUAUACCGCACUUAGCGCACCAUUAGUUACUACUUCCUCCGUUCCGAUUUACUCGUCGUGGUUUGAGUUCAAAUUUGAACUAAAACCACGACGAGUAAAUCUUGAACUAAAACCACGACGAGUAAAUCGGAAUAGAGGGAGUAGAUAAUUGAUCGUGUAUUGCAACAGGGCAUAAAUAAUCUUCCAGGUUAAUUAAUCUGUGAUUUAUAGGAUGUGUGUGUGAUUGCGUAAAAAAAGAAGGAUUUUAUUAGGUAAACAUUUAUUGCCUUACCAAAGACAAAAUAGCUUUAUUUGGUAAGUUAAUGAAUAAUGUGCAUUUAAUGCGGUUUUCUAAAAAUGCUAAAAUAAACAAAGAUGGGAGGAAAAAUAGAAAGAAGAGAGGGAGGGAAAAGGCAGGAAGGAUGUACUUAAGUUGGACCAAGGACGAGCCGAUCGACCACACAACCUUAUACUUUUUAAAAAUAGACUGGAUAACUGCAUGUACGUUACAAUGAGAGCAUAAAUAUUUUAUUAACUUAGCACAUGAUUUAUUUGUCCAUAUUAGUAUGAUUGUGUAAAAACUAGAAUUUUAUUUAGUAAAAGUGUAUUGACUUAUUAAGAAAUAAGAGGAAAAUCAAAAUGAAAAGAGAAUGGAGCCCUACAUAAGAUUGGAUGAAGAACGAGCAAACGACGGAACGUUAGGCUUCCACGCUUUUUAGGCCCUAUUUGUUUGGGUUUUUGCUUCUGAUUUUGCAGCUUUUUCACUUUGACCAAAAAGCCAUAAAAGCUUCUAAACAGAUGCUUUUGAAGUUUUUAUGGUUUCGGAAGCCAAAUAUUGUUAUAUUGACUCGUCAAAAAUCAUAAAAGCUCCAAAAGGACCUAUUUAGAAGGUUUUAUGAUUUUUUGGAUAAAGUGAAAAAGCUGCAAAAGCAGAAGCAAAGGCUGAAACAAACAGGCCUAAGUAGGAGAGAAGAGAUAUGUUACUCAUCACCUACGGAAGAACAUAACAUGUCGACUGGUUUAAUCACAAGUCGAUGUCCACAGAUGCAGUAAACGCAAAAUUCUUACGCUCUCACUCACCAUCACGUUGCUAUACUUCGAUUUCUCACGCGUUCAUCCAGCCCAGCCACAUGCAUAGGUAGCCGACGAGGCGUCAAGGUCAAACUAUACAUGCUGUUCCAGUCCGUGCACCGACCUAUGUUUGACAGCCAAAUUCAUGUGCUCCAUUUCAGCGUGUAUGAUGUUGAGACAGAGACGGAAUUUUCAAAUGUAAAUAUGUAAAAAGGUUCCUCACAAAGAAAAAUAAUAUGUAAAAAGAUCAUUUCAAAAAAUAUGUAGUAAAAUGAAAGAAAAGAAACACUAUUAUGAUCGAAAGAUAGAUCCGAGGAGAUAUUUUUUUUUUAGGAUCAGAAGGAGAUUUUUAGGAUAAGCAAUCACAGCACAAGGACACCGAUAUUUGUUAAUGGUUCAUUACACAGGCUAGCUACAUCUUUGAGAACCCUUCUCUGAACCUUUGGCGCCUAUACUGUUAAAAUAUGCUAACCAUAGAGACAUCUUUUGGGUACAUGAUCUUUAAGGGCAUCUUCAAUGCUGACCCUCAGAUCACCCUUAUACGUACGAACUGUAUGGUCCGGACGUGUUGUGCCAUCCAACGCAGGGCUACAUCGGCCGCCGAGCGGUUCAGACGUAUUUUUGUUGGAGUCUGGACAACAGCCAUGUAGGGCUCGACACCCCGGUUCACUAAUUUCCCCUUCCGGUCCCAUUUUCUUUUAAUCCGCUCCUUUUUCCCCUUACUUUGCAUUUGCACCCUUCUCCUCCGAAACCGCCGCGGUACCUCUCUGCAACCAGCACCAACGCGUCUGCUNNNNNNNNNNNNNNNNNNNNNNNNNNNNNNNNNNNNNNNNNNNNNNNNNNNNNNNNNNNNNNNNNNNNNNNNNNNNNNNNNNNNNNNNNNNNNNNNNNNNNNNNNNNNNNNNNNNNNNNNNNNNNNNNNNNNNNNNNNNNNNNNNNNNNNNNNNNNNNNNNNNNNNNNNNNNNNNNNNNNNNNNNNNNNNNNNNNNNNNNNNNNNNNNNNNNNNNNNNNNNNNNNNNNNNNNNNNNNNNNNNNNNNNNNNNNNNNNNNNNNNNNNNNNNNNNNNNNNNNNNNNNNNNNNNNNNNNCGAUAGGUGUUCGCUCAAAUGCCGUUAAGCUUAUUUUCGAACGGCAUGUCAUUUUUUUAGAGUACAAAGGAUGGCGGCUUACUCAACCACGGAGAAUGAGUUGUUGUGUGAUGUGUGGUUGGCCGUAUCUGUGGAUUUCGUAGGCAGGAGCAGAGGGGGGUCGUUCUGGCAGCGCGUGCAUGCGUUCCACGCGCGAAAGCACAUUGUGCCCUACGACAUGCACAUCAUCCAUGAUUGCAAUGUGAGGUCGUUAUUGUUUCGAUGGUACGUCGUCGACCAGCGUCGCCAAGUUAUGUGGCGCGGUAUCGUGCACGGCAUCCAAAGAGAUCGUAAGUUUUAUUUCUUCUUUCUCAACUUGUUAAUUGAUUCAUUCACUCAUUUGAUGUGCUCUACAUAGUGUGUAACCCGUACGUGUUGUCAUAAUGUACUAUAGGAUAGAAGGACGGUCAUUUAGGUACAUACAUUGUUGGAUGAAAUUGAAGGGGCGGUAUGUGUGGGACGACAUGAUCCGUUCAUGAAAAACUAAUUGAACAUCCGGUUAAUAUCAUUGAAUUUGAAAUAUUAUUGUACUAGACUUACUUGCAUGCUAUGUAUGGAUGAUUUGUAGUAUUUUCUAUCCGAACUUCGAUGAAAUCCGUCGUGUUUGCAAGAGUUUCGAAUGGUUAGUUCACACAACAUUUUUUUUCUAAAUUCAGAUCAAACAUUGGUUGAAAUAUAUACGGGCAGCGUUGGAUGGCCGCCUCCUGCAUCCGUAUCCGUCGACUGGUCUCCCUGUCCGCGAACGGAUGCUAGAGUAAAUUUAUGGGUCAGCAUUGGAGAUGCCUUAAUAUGGCCCUUUGCUAAUCAAAUUAUCCUCCCGCGUGCGAUUACAACAUGUGUGUCACCUCCUCGUUUAAGAGGCCAAAAAUACAAGCACUCAACUCAACUCGAUCUAACACUAUUUGCAUCGUAUACACAUGUCUUUCGAGUACUCUACUGCAAUACAACAAUAUUUCUAAGUCCAAUGUGUGGUCAGCCGUACAUAUAUCCGUCACAUACUCACAUUUAUGAAAUAUUUGUACAAUGAAUUUUACUUUAUACCCUUUAAAACAUUUAGAACCCAUUCAAGACAUUGGUCUCAUAUCACUCAAAUAUUACAUGAUUCAUUUGAAAUAAAUUUUGUUUGGUCGCAACAAGCAAAAAAGAAAUGUUUUUCUAUGAAAUUCAACCGGAUAAAAAAACUUCUGAAAUGUAGUGUAGAAAACUUUUGAACUGUUUUUCUACGAAUUUCUGCAUUUUUAGAAUUUUUACCAAAAAAAACAUGUGCACAUGAAGUAGGACAAAAAUAUACUACUCCAUAAAGGUAAGAGAUGUCCCCCUCCGUCUUAGCAUCGUGAGAUGUACAGAGCCAAAUUAUUACACCUUUCGUACAAAUGUCACCAAAACAUGGAACUUGUGAGUCAUCAAAAACAUGAAUUCAGUUGCACCUAUGCAAACCACCACACAAACGAGGGCAUGGAUCGAUCCCUGACAAGUGCAAGAGCAACAAAAGUGCUGUUGAUUUUUUGGUUAUCAAGCAAUCUUAUUUUAAGAUUGCUGUUACUGGCUUCCGCCGAGAAGUAGCCAUCCAGUAGGCAGUGGCACAUCACCCAACUACUGCUCCCCUGAAUUAUCCAAUGACUAAUCCAAUCACGACUACGCAGCUUGCUAAAUGGAACAUAAAUAAGCAGCGUAAUCCCGCGACUAGCUCCCGGCGAUCUUUGUCACUGCCUUCAGCCACCUACCAGCCAUGAAGCGGCAGCUUGUGGCCACGCUGCUGGUCCUGCUCGCGCUGCCGGCGUUCGCCGCGUCCGCUCCGGGCGCCGGGAUCGCGGCGCUGCUUACGCACGCCGACGCCGGCCUCGGGCUCGCGAGGCCCGAGCUCGUGCGCCGGAUGGCGCACCGGUCCAGGGCGCGCCGGCGGCGGCUGCUGUCGUCGCGGGAGACGGAGGCGGGGGCGGACCGGCCGGUGCGCGCCGGCCUCGGCGCCGGCGCCGGCGGCAGCAUCGUGACGAACGAGUACCUGGUGCACCUGUCCGUGGGCACGCCGCCGCGGCCCGUGGCGCUCACGCUCGACACCGGCAGCGACCUCGUCUGGACGCAGUGCGCGCCCUGCCUCGACUGCUUCGAUCAGGGGGUGCCGCUCCUGGACCCCGCCCGGUCCUCCACCUACGCCGCGCUCCCCUGCGACGCGCCGCUGUGCCGCGCGCUCCCGUUCACGUCGUGCGGCGGCGGCGGAGGGAGCUGGGGCGAGCGGAGCUGCGUCUACGUCUACCACUACGGCGACAAGUCGCUCACCGUCGGCCAGCUCGCCGCCGACCGCUUCACCUUCGGCAAUGCCGACGGCCGCUCCGAGCGGCGGCUGACGUUCGGCUGCGGCCACUUCAACAAGGGCAUCUUCCAGGCGAACGAGACCGGCAUUGCCGGCUUCGGGCGGGGCCGGUGGUCGCUGCCGUCGCAGCUCGGCGUCACCAGCUUCUCCUACUGCUUCACAUCCAUGUUCGAGUCCAAGAGCAGCCUGGUGACGCUCGGCGCGGCGGCCGAGCUCCGGAGCGGCGCCGCCUUCCAGUCCACCCCGCUGCUCAAGGACCCCUCGCAGCCGUCGCUCUACUUCCUCUCGCUGAAGGGCAUCAGCGUCGGCUCGAAGCGGCUGCCGGUGCCGGAGCGGCGGCUGAGGUCGACGAUCAUCGACUCGGGCGCGUCGAUCACGACGCUGCCGGAGGACGUGUACGAGGCGGUGAAGGCGGAGUUCGUGGCGCAGGUCGGGCUGCCGGUGAUCGGCGCGGAGGCCGGCGCGGCGCUGGACCUCUGCUUCGCGCUGCCGGCGACGGCGCCGUUCUGGGGGCGGCGGGGGCGGCGGGCCGUGGCCGUGCCGUCGCUGACGCUCCACCUGGACGGCGCCGACUGGGAGCUGCCGCGCGGCAACUACGUGUUCGAGGACCACGGCGCGCGGGUCAUGUGCCUGGUGCUGGACGCGGCGGCCGGGGAGCAGACCGUCAUCGGCAACUACCAGCAGCAGAACACGCACGUCGUCUACGACCUCCACAGGGACCUGCUGUCCUUCGCGCCGGCGCAGUGCGACAAGCUCGUAGCAUCGCUGUAAUGGUGAAAUUGUACAGAGGAGUAGUAGAACUCGUAGCACUGAUCGGGUGAAGCGCGCCGACGUGGCGGCGGUAGAGUACGUUUUGUGCGGCCGUGUAAACUGGGCCGUCCAUGUAGCUGAUCUGACGGCGCACACGCAUGAGCCUUUCCAAUGGAAGGCCGGGCGCUUCGGUUGUACUACUUGUACAGAGUUUGGAAAAUUCCAAAGCUAAGGCUGGGCACUUAGAGCAACUUUAAUGGGGCGAUUCAUUUUGUCCGCGGCCGUUCGUUUGGGUCGGCGCGGAUAGAAAAGGCGGCCCAACGCGUCGAUCCAAACGGACGCGCGUCCGUUAUUCGUCCGCGGGCGACCCAUUCCCGGCACAUUUUUUAGCCUGAUUUGUGUCGGCGCGGACACGCGACGGACGCGCGCGCGGUCGCUUACUCCUGUCCCCGGGUCCGCUGGUCUGUGGCACAUUGGCCUUCCUUCCCGGCUAACAAGCAACCCCCCCUCCCCCCGCCUCCUCUGUCACCGAUGUCGUCACCCAUUUUUGCGGCGACUCUUCCAGCUGCCGCCGCCUCCACAUCCGCCCAGCAACGCCGUCCCUGUCCCCAGUCGCCCGCCGUCGCUUCCCCCACCGCACAGCCGUCCGCGACCAAGAAGACGCCUCGCCGCCCCCGCCACAUACGACCGGCACGCUCGUCGGACGCCGGCAGGGCAGCUAGCUGGUCUGUGGGUGCCGCGUCUCCCCUCGCCGGCUGUCUCCUUCUUCGACGCCCGCAAGCUGUUCGACAGUUUGCCAAGGUACAAAAAUGGACUCCGCCGACGAGUUCUUUUUCCACAAUUUCAUUUGCGACUCCGACGAUUCGUCGUCCGACGACGAAGAGGUGAUAUUGGCUGCCGUGUUGGUCAAUCACCACCUCAACAACCAGCGGCCGUUGUUCCGUGGCUCCAUUCGAGGUCACCUUCCGGCGUUGAAUCGUAACUGAGAGAGCGGGCAUUUCCUUCUCUGGAAGGACUACUUUGAUACAACAAACCCGUUGUUCAAACAUCACAAAUUCCGCCGCCGGUUCCGUAUGAGUAGGCAUGUUUUCAACCGUAUUAAAGAGGGAGUGGUUGGCUAUGAUGACUACUUCGAGUGCAAAGAGGAUGCCGUCGGCAAGAUUGGUUUCUCCUCUUAUCAGAAAUGCACUGCCGCCAUCCGAAUGCUUGCAUACGGAGUGCCCUAUGAUCUCAUUGACGAGUACGUCCGUAUGAGCGAGUCUACAUGCCUAGAGUCCCUGUAUAAGUUCUGCAAGGCUGUGAUUGUUGUGUUUGACCUUGAGUUCUUGAGAGAGCCGACAGCUGCAGAUACAGCCCGUUUGUUGGCGAUGAAUGCUAGCAGGGGCUUCCCGGGGAUGCUUGACAUCAUAGACUGCAUGCACUGGGAGUGGAAGAAUUGCCCUUCUGCUUGGCAAGGGCAGUAUAAGGGACAUGUCAGGGCUUGCACUGUCAUACUAGAGGUCGUUGCGUCUCAAGAUCUCUGGAUCUGGCAUUUUUUUCUUUGGCAUGGCUGGAUCACACAAUGAUAUAACGUGCUUCAGCGCUCGCCGAUGUUUGCUAGGCCGAAGGCAACAGCCCACCGGUGAACUUUACUGUCAACGGCCACAACUCAAAGGGUACUAUUUGAGUGACGGUAUCUAUCCUCAGUGGACCACUAUUGUAAAGACAAUACCCAACCAUGUUGGAGAGAAAAGGAAAAGAUUUGCCCAAGAGCAAGAGAGUGCUAGAAAGGAUGUCGAGCGUGCCUUUGGUGUUUUGCAAUCUCGAUGGGGUAUCGUUCGGUAUCCUGCUAAUACUUGGAGCACGCAGAAACUAUGAGAGGUGAUGACUGCUUGCGUGAUCAUGCACAAUAUGAUCGUAGAAGACGAGCGCCCGGAACGUCUGUACGAUCAAGGCUUUCAGUUUCAGGGUGAGAAUGUUGUGCCUGAGCAUGGAGUAGCGGCAACAUUUGAGCAGUUCAUUCAGUUUCAUGAAGACAUGUGUGAUUGGGAAACUCACUUGCAACUGCAAAAUGAUUUGAUUGAGUAUAUGUGGACUCAUGUUGGCAACCAAUAAAUGUAUCUUCUUUUAUUCAUUUGUAAAACUAUGUGAAUUUUUUCUAUUUAGCCUGUAAACUAUACUAUUUAUUUCGACGUACUAUUUUGUUUGUUAAAUUUUCAUUUCACAAUAUGUUGAAUGCAAUGCAAAAUUGGGCGGCCAGCCGGCCACGCCUGCACAUAUGGGUCAGCGCGUUGGGCGCGCUACCGACCCAUGUGAAAAACAGGGCGGACGCCGGGCGGACGGUCGACCCAAACGGACAAAAGGCGGAUGAAAUCGCCGUCCGUUUGGGUCGGCCCGUUGGAGUUGCUCUUAGGGCAUGGCCAAUGCGUAGCCCCAGUGUGAUGCCUUACAUGUCAUGUAGGAUCGGAUAACAAAAAAAAUAGGUUCGAAUGGAGAAACGGGAUCCUCUUCAAAAGACGGGUGCUUACAGACAAAAAGUAUGGUCCGAUGCAUAAAGUUGAAAUGGAGAGGAGUGAUGCAUGUGUAAUUAGAGUCAUUUUUUAUUCUUUGAUGAGGUUCACUAGUAUUGCUUGCAUUGGGGAGAAAAAAUUAACACAUAUGCUUCAAAUUAUUUUUUAUUAUGAGGCAUCUGUAUUCAUAUGCCACGGUCUCAAGAUAUUGCUCCCGCCGGUGCCUGGUAUGAGGUGUUGCUCUUCUUUAAGCUUGUACAUAACUUUUCUUUUCUUUUUGUUUUGCAAAAGUGCAAACGGCCAUAUAUUAAAGUUGAUCAACCCUUACAAGGUCGUCCUUACAGAAAUUAAAAAUUACAUGCGUGUCAUUACUGGAGGAACGAUGCCAUCUUUCCUCCUACACUCAUGGACGACGCGCCAUGAGCGAAGCUCGAUGUCAUCUCUGCUCCUCCAAACAUUAUCAGGAAAAUGUUGACGUAACGGCUAGGAAGUCGUCGGUCCAGCCAGAAGAUGGCGGUGAUAGUGAUUUGAAAAAUAAACCGUCGCCCCGGAGAAGAAGACUAGAAGACCACCCAUCCAGUCAGACGGGUUCAGGGGACCUAACCUCACAAGCUCCCCUAUGACGCGUAAACUGGAGGAACAUCACACGUCGGAGAAGGAGCCACAGGACCAAGAUACGAAGUAUCAUUGUGUACCCCGUCAUAAGACGCCUUCAAAGACCACAUGUAUAGCAUCAAGACAUAACCGGGUCCAUCACUUCAUAAGAGCAACGACCAGACGAUCCAGUAGCCUCACCUAUGUCCCUAGUUAGAUGACCAUGACUCGGGGAAACUUUAUUCCUGAUCCAAACUGCACCACUAUCGCCACCACAACACUGUCGCUAAGGAACCAAACUCUAACCUUAAACGACCUAACUACAAUGCCGCACCACAGAUCUAGGGUUCCCAUGCAAUCUCGCCGCCGAAGCGGCAGGCGGAGGAGGAGGGACAUGUGGCCGUGCCGGUUUAUUAAUACGCAAAGAUUUUAUGAACAUUACGUAGGUGUUUGGUUCGUGCUUUUGUAUCAUAACCUGAUUACAGUGUUAACGGAUACCCCCAAAUCUUGUUUGUUUUGGUUGCUCCGUAAUCCCAUAACAUGGUAUUAGAUCCCAGCCUAGUACAAAUCUGUUACCGGUCGAAUUGUACGUAACGAAAGCCGCUACAGCCCGUCUCCCUCCUCGCUAUAUCCUCUGUGAUUUUCUCUGGCUAAAGCGUUGCUGCCGCUACCAGCCAUCCAUGCCGUCGCCGCAACCAGUCGCCGUCGUUGCAACCGCUGUCGGCGCCGCCGUCACUGUCGUUGUUCGCUCUCAGGCCCUAGACACGAACGAUGUUGUCCAAGGUAUUCAUUAACGUUACAACGUAGGUAGUCAAACAAAGUACUCCCUUCGUCUCAAAAUAAGUGUCUUACAAAGUGAUAUGAUUUUUGCCCAUACCGUUUACAUUAACGGUGUAACCCAAUUACAUUUGCGUUUGCGUUACCGAUCUGCAACCAAAAACUUCCUACUAGUAACAAACAUCUACUGUUUCUGUAGCUUAACUAUAAGUCGUCGGUCAAAAAUCACCGCAGGUACGUCCAAGUCGCCAUGCGCCAAAAGGCUCAGUGAAGAUGCAUAUAGCUUUCGGCGCUUUGUCGGCAGGUCAAUACGAGGCCUACUUUGAGGUGCAAAAGGGUCAAAAUCCGCGACCUAACUUAUGUCCACUGCUACAAGCCCAACGUCCCGGGAAUCCGGCGUUUUCAUUCCGCACAUCUGCCGUUUGGGACCUCAUAAUCUAUGCCAUUUGGGAUGAUAAUCUAGGAGGUCGGAGACGUUGACAUGCCAAAACAAUGGCGAGUCGAUGACAUAUGGCAUCAAAGUCCCUGCCGGUGCCAAAUCGCAGGUGUGGGUGCAAGGGCCUUGGGAUCGACGACAUUAGGAAUAUGGGAUCGUAAUCUAUAGGAGACUGGGAGGUUGGGGACGUUGACAUGCCUGCGUAUGGUCAGUCCAGAUGCGGGCAUCGAAGUCCACGCCAGGCCUGGAGAUGCUGCCAGUGGCAUGGCUGCACGGUGCAAUUCUCAAUCAUGACAUUUGGAACAAACAUAUAGAUGGAUGUGGCAUUAAAAUGGAAUCCAUCACGUUUUCAACGCAUAAUAGUAGGACAUCACCGCAUGGCAGCUCGGUUUUCUCAGAAAAACAAGUGCCAUAUGGAAGGAAGCUGAAACUGCAAACAAUUUAAACAUCAAGUUGCUAUGCUCUACCAGGAUUCAUGAAACCGGCAACGUUUCGUCUCAAAGGUCACAGGCUAAGGUAAGCACACCCACACGCAUACUCAUCAACCGAGCAGUCAAAUUCUGUGUACAUUCGGGCCUACAUAUGCUGCUGCUGUUGUACAGAGAUAAUUCAUGUGCAGAUGGAUGGCCUACGUUAACUACAAGUCAAUUUGUCAACUACAGAUGUCAGUCAGUGACAACCCCCCUACUACCCCCUCCCUCUUCUUUCAUCAUCCACCAGAUGUAGCUACUUGUUCUCUGUUACAAGACUAAACUAAUGACUGCAGAGAUGACAAACGUACAGAGCAUAUUCCACAAAAUCUGCCCUCGGAUAACUUAAUUAGUGGAUGAAUUCACCCAUGCCGCCACGUCAUCUGAGUGGCAUCAGCUCAGGGGGUAAAACCUUCUGGCUGGAAGCUCAAAUCACACUGCAGGGCUCGGUGCACACCAUUUUAUAACCUCCGCCCGUCCGUGCCCCAUUGGCUGUGUGAUGAGAUGGUAACACUGGCCAGCCCCGCUUGCUGCAAUCUGCUUCUCGGACGCUGGGCAAGAAACCAUGUUCCCUGGCCAUGGAGGAAGGAGCCACUUCGAUACGCUGCUGCUAUCCACCAACAGGCCCUUGUACUACAACAUCCUGACUCCGUUGCUUCUUUUUGGAGGAGCCACGGCGAGUAUAAACAAGUCUCUUUGGAGGGUGUUGUUUCUGCGACACAGCUUGGUCAGAUGUGAUAGCGGGC
rnacentral:lncRNA from 1 species